AGGUAAUGGUAACAACUUAUCUGUAUAACGAAUCAUGACAGAAGAACACGUGGCAAUGAACGGUGAUGGUAAAAAGCACGUACAUCUAACAGUGGACGAUGAUGAGAUUUCCAUAAACUCCAACGAUCUAAGGGUCGAUGUGAAGGACCUGAUAAACAUUGGAAGUUCGAAAAAGCCCGCUCAGUAAAGCCCGUUAAACACACCUCCAAAGAGCCAGGCUACGUCUGGAUGAUGCCCUACUGUCAGGUCUGCUGUGUAGCAGCCUUCGUCCUCGCUAUCGUCUUCUUGGUCUCGGUUACAGAACGUUCUCCGACAAUGCCAGCAAGUCGGAGGCGUUCAAAUACGCAGGUUUCGUGAUGGCUGCAUUGGGUGUGGUCGCCUUUAUUGCGGUUAUUUACAUUAACUCUGUGAGCAAGAACAAUUUGAUCAACUCCAUGCAAAGCUUCAGGAGGUCAAAAGCGGCGAAUCCCCAGAUAAACAAAAAGUUGACCCGAAACACAACUGAUACAGACAUGAGGGCCUAAGUAAUUAAUUAAUUAAUGUAUUAAUUAUUUACACAACCUACACAUAUGUUUCUACACUUACAGAUCUUGUCCAACUGUUCUCUUUUGGCGCAGAGAAAUCAUCCGUAUAGUUCUGAAUAUUAAAUAACACCGAGACUAAUUGAACAUGAUGAUGAGCGGGCCAAAUGCUACCUUACUUACCAAAUGCUACCUUAGUUACCAAAUGCUACCUUAGUUACCAAAUGCUACCUUAGUUACCAAAUGCUACCUUACUUACCAAAUGCUACCUUAAUUACCAAAUGCUACCUUACUUACCAAAUGCUACCUUACUUACCAAAUAGACUUGGUCUGAGUCCAGAGUCGUAAUUGCAGAACAUCAAACGUAUCUUUGCAGUAUAUUUUGACAAAGAUAUUGUUUCAUAUUAGCCAGUGUGAUAAGCCAUGAGUUGUUGAACUUAAACGGGUAAGAGAAGUUGAAAUUGACUAUCUGCUCACGUUUCGGUUUAUAGUUUAUAACAUUUAACAAUUUUGAUACGGAGUUAAGGCUCAAUUAUGAAUUAUUCCUUUUAGUUUUAAUAAUCAACCACAGUCCAGCACUGAUUUUGGA